UUGAAGAGUUUGAUCAUGGCUCAGAUUGAACGCUGGCGGCAGGCCUAACACAUGCAAGUCGAACGGUAACAGGAAGCAGCUUGCUGCUUCGCUGACGAGUGGCGGACGGGUGAGUAAUGUCUGGGAAACUGCCUGAUGGAGGGGGAUAACUACUGGAAACGGUGGCUAAUACCGCAUAACGUCGCAAGACCAAAGAGGGGGACCUUCGGGCCUCUUGCCAUCAGAUGUGCCCAGAUGGGAUUAGCUAGUUGGUGAGGUAACGGCUCACCAAGGCGACGAUCCCUAGCUGGUCUGAGAGGAUGACCAGCCACACUGGAACUGAGACACGGUCCAGACUCCUACGGGAGGCAGCAGUGGGGAAUAUUGCACAAUGGGCGCAAGCCUGAUGCAGCCAUGCCGCGUGUAUGAAGAAGGCCUUCGGGUUGUAAAGUACUUUCAGCGGGGAGGAAGGUGUUGUGGUUAAUAACCACAGCAAUUGACGUUACCCGCAGAAGAAGCACCGGCUAACUCCGUGCCAGCAGCCGCGGUAAUACGGAGGGUGCAAGCGUUAAUCGGAAUUACUGGGCGUAAAGCGCACGCAGGCGGUCUGUCAAGUCGGAUGUGAAAUCCCCGGGCUCAACCUGGGAACUGCAUUCGAAACUGGCAGGCUUGAGUCUUGUAGAGGGGGGUAGAAUUCCAGGUGUAGCGGUGAAAUGCGUAGAGAUCUGGAGGAAUACCGGUGGCGAAGGCGGCCCCCUGGACAAAGACUGACGCUCAGGUGCGAAAGCGUGGGGAGCAAACAGGAUUAGAUACCCUGGUAGUCCACGCCGUAAACGAUGUCUACUUGGAGGUUGUGCCCUUGAGGCGUGGCUUCCGGAGCUAACGCGUUAAGUAGACCGCCUGGGGAGUACGGCCGCAAGGUUAAAACUCAAAUGAAUUGACGGGGGCCCGCACAAGCGGUGGAGCAUGUGGUUUAAUUCGAUGCAACGCGAAGAACCUUACCUGGUCUUGACAUCCACAGAACUUUCCAGAGAUGGAUUGGUGCCUUCGGGAACUGUGAGACAGGUGCUGCAUGGCUGUCGUCAGCUCGUGUUGUGAAAUGUUGGGUUAAGUCCCGCAACGAGCGCAACCCUUAUCCUUUGUUGCCAGCGAUUAGGUCGGGAACUCAAAGGAGACUGCCAGUGAUAAACUGGAGGAAGGUGGGGAUGACGUCAAGUCAUCAUGGCCCUUACGACCAGGGCUACACACGUGCUACAAUGGCGCAUACAAAGAGAAGCGACCUCGCGAGAGCAAGCGGACCUCAUAAAGUGCGUCGUAGUCCGGAUUGGAGUCUGCAACUCGACUCCAUGAAGUCGGAAUCGCUAGUAAUCGUGGAUCAGAAUGCCACGGUGAAUACGUUCCCGGGCCUUGUACACACCGCCCGUCACACCAUGGGAGUGGGUUGCAAAAGAAGUAGGUAGCUUAACCUUCGGGAGGGCGCUUACCACUUUGUGAUUCAUGACUGGGGUGAAGUCGUAACAAGGUAACCGUAGGGGAACCUGCGGUUGGAUCACCUCCUU
rnacentral:rRNA from 1 species